rnacentral:rRNA from 1 species
AAUAUUGGACAAUGGGCGCAAGCCUGAUCCAGCCAUGCCGCGCGAGUGAUGAAGGCCUUAGGGUUGUAAAGCCCUUUCACCGAUGAAGAUAAUGACGGUAGUCGGUGAUGAAGCCCCGUCCAACUUCGUGCCGGCAGCCGCGGUAAUACGAAGGGGGCUAGCGUUGUUCGGAUUUACUGGGCGUAAAGCGCACGUAGGCGGAUUGGUAAGUUAGAGGUGAAAUCCCGAAGCUCAACUUCGGAACUGCCUUUAAUACUACCAGUGUCGAGUACGGAAGAGGUAAGUGGAACUCCUAGUGUAGAGGUGGAAUUCGUAGAUAUUAGGAAGAACACCAGUGGCGAAGGCGGCUUACUGGUCCGGAACUGACGCUGAGGUGCGAAAGCGUGGGGAGCAAACAG